rnacentral:lncRNA from 1 species
UAACCAAUAUCUUCUCUCUUAACAUAGAAACACAAGCUCUGGGAUUUAUUUGCUUCAUGCCCUUUGAAAAUCAAGAUCUCUUCUCUCUCUAAAUGUUUCAAAUACACGUUUUGGUAUAAGCAAGCAUACGUACAAAUCAGGAACGUAGAUUUCAAUAUAUGAGAUGUGAACGUUUUAUGGAAUGAAGCAAGCAUACAUACAGUUACCGGUAAAAUGCAAAGUACGUUAACGUCGGUGGGUACGGCAGCUCCGGCAAAUACCUUAAAAACAAUAACGGUUAAUUGAUUGUGGAUUUGCAAAAUAAGUUUGUGUUUUCUUCUUGUAUUUCAAAUCCGAUCAAAACUACUUAAAAAUCGAUGAAUUUCAUUGAGUUUCGUGCGAGGUUCGAUUGGAUCGGAUCACGGGUCGAAAAAACCCGUCUAGUAGACAACAGGCGAAGAGGAAGACUACUAAAAAAAAAUAAAAAGAUUUUGAAUUGUCAAGGAUCGAACGAAAACGAGACCAAUAGCACUGCAAGCAAGAUACGCACAUACACAUUUUCAAUUCUAGGAUUUUGAUUGUAUUUAAUUGUUUUUUUUUUUUAAGGAUUGUAUUUAAUUGUUGUUACCAGUUUUGAAUAGUUAUCAAAUAACAAAUAAUUUAAUUCAUUUUAUCUUGGGUUAUUAUAUAUAGCAAAUCUUACAUAGACACAAGCCUAAAUAAAAUUU